rnacentral:rRNA from 1 species
AGGACGAACGCUGGCGGCGUGCCUAACACAUGCAAGUGGAGCGACGAACCAGGCUUCGGCCUGGGGCAGAGCCGCGAACGGGUGAGUAACACGUGGGUAACCUGCCCUGAUGAUUGGGACAACCCGAGGAAACUCGGGCUAAUACCGAAUGUGCCCUCCGGCCUCAAGGCCGUUGGGGAAAGGAAGCUUCGGCCUCCGCAUCGGGAUGGGCCCGCGGCCCAUUAGCUUGUUGGUGAGGUAACGGCUCACCAAGGCAACGAUGGGUAGCUGGUCUGAGAGGACGAUCAGCCACACUGGGACUGAGACACGGUCCAGACACCUACGGGUGCAGCAGUUUCGAAUCAUUCACAAUGGGCAAAG